AUUGGAUCGAGGUCAAUACCCAGUAGACUUAUAUCUGUAUUUACAGUAAGAUUAUCUUGAAGAAAUUUACGCAGUUGAAUCAUAAAAAAAAUAAAUAAAAGAAAAAAAGCGAGACAUUGUGAGACCUUGAAGAUAACUCAGAGGCUGCAAAAAGAGGGUUCUUUAUUUAUAGACAAGAUUAAUUCACAGACGGCAUGUUUCAAAAAUUAAAAAAAAAAGGGACCGUCGUCAUCGGAAUCGUUGUCGUUGUCUCAUAAACUGGGUCUGCGGUGUAGUAAAACACCCAAGAAGAAAGAAGGGUUCCUAUCCUAUCUUCUAUCCAACAUAACAUCCAGUAAAAUAAUCUGGGCUCUAUUUUUAUACGACACGGCUAAAUAUACCAAUGAAGUAACUCAGCUAUGCCAGAUACCAGUCCAAGCAGAAGGCAGAAACAGAGGCCUAAGAUGCUAAGAGACUCAAUAAAACAUAUGAGCUGGCAACCGGUGCUGCUGUCUACCGAGAGACGCGGUAAAUUUAUUAUUGCAACAUACCUACGACGACCCUCAAUUGUGACGGACCCAUGUAGUCUAGAGGCUAGAGUUCUCAACUUAUUGCUUGGGUUGCUGCUCGUUUCGAGUAUAAUAUACAAAGCCAAAUGGCCGAUCAGACCUUACCUUCAACCAGACCUAUACUAAUAGAACACUGAACCGCAAGUCUGGUGAUGCAGAGUAUGGUUACAGGUACCUACGGUGGGAGAAAGAUUUGCCAACAGCGGAAGGAUCGCAGAUCGGGAUAAUUCGCGACUGUCCACGACCUAGAUUGCCGCCGUGUACUGGCCUUCUACGUUGGUCCUUGGGGUCAUGGUGGGCUCUAGAAAUCACCGCUAAUAUACCUUCAGAGUCACAUUAUACGUAGUCCGUAGACAAUGACCUGGUGAUGCUUAAAAAACGGAUCUAUAUCUUAUUUCAUUUGGUUCCUUUUAACGGUUCGUCCUGACGCAGGUAUGAAAUUGUUUGAACCACGAGAGCACGCGUGUCUACAUAUGGGAAGCAAUGUGAUGCUACGCAGCUUCAACCACUGAAGCUGGUAAAAAAAGCGUGCAUGCCAGACUGUUAAUAACUUGGAAAAGCUUGACAAAUAUUUAAUUUCCUCAUUCUUGUAUUCACAGUACAAUGAGUAAGAAGAGAAGAAGAAGAAGAAGAAGAAGAAGAGAAGAUAGGAAAUGGUAAUGUAUUGUAGGCAAAGACGUCUAAGUUUAGUUCAAACUAAUAAACUUCCGGGAGCGGGCUUUGAUGAUUUGUUUUUUAACUCUCAUCAUUUCCGGAUUAGUCUAACUUUUACUUUUAUAUUUUUAUUGCCAUAGCAUUUUAAAUUCAAACUGAGCGUAAAAGAUUUGGUUACUCCUAGCAGGUACAUGCGGGUCUACAAACCUCAACCAUUGUCCGUGAAUAGCUUAAAUCCUGUAAUCUCUUUGUCCUCGAAUUUUCGAUGCCUUUAUUUUAUUAGACGUACUUUAACGAACAAUUUCAAUUGUUAAUUUACUCAACUGCGACGGCAACCUUCUUUUAUGAGUCCAUGGUCAAUAUCUAUGUAUAUUCUACAGCUCGGUAAUAUAAAUACACGUAUAUUCACUUUAGUGAAUAGUGAAUAAAUGAAAUGUUAUUUAUUUCUUAUUCUGCCAUACCGGAGGUCCGGAUGCUUUGGUUGUCAUUGAAAUACAUUCAAAUAGUAGUUUAAGCUUAAUAUAACGGAUUUCGAUGGUGAUGAUGGAGACAAUUCAUUGGGUUUCCUCUUUUUGACAUAUCGAACGACAGCGGAUGCAGUGACAAUAGGAAACUUUGGCUUACCAAAGUGAAUAGUCAGUAGCGGAUACAACACGUGACUUCCGGAAUAUAAUAAUUUUUUAAAGACGACAUCCUUUUUAUUUAAUAUACCUAUGUAUGUAUAUAAAUGGAUAUAGAUACGGAUAUAGAUAUAUUUAUUUUUAGUAUAUUACUAUACGGGAAUGUGAAGACAUAAUGCUGGGUAUCAUGAACGGAUAAAUUGUUUUCAAAAUUUAACCAGUGACUCCCGGUGUCACCUUUGAUACCUUAUCAAAACGUGGGAAUAAUAUUGAUGUAAGUACAACACAUCAGUCGAAUGAUCUCACAUAUUGUUCACGUGAACGUAAAUAACUGAGAGAGCUGUAAAAAUAUAUAUUACAUGUAUAUUUAUUAUACUUGAGCAGUGGGGAAGCUUAUCAUUACAAAAGUCCAACGCAAUAAUACAUAUAUUUUUUUGCUCCGUGAUAAGUUUGCUCGAUUGCGACGCCAAUUAAUAAUUAGUCACGUGGCCUCGAUGACGCUUUGUUUUUGUAAUUAAAAUAAUCCUCAGACCGUGGAAUCCCAGGUUUAGCAAUAUAAGGUUUACAGCACAUUUAUGAUUUUUAAUCAUUAAGCCAACGGAUUUUCGUAAUAUUCAGCACUUCCGUAAUCUAUAUCUAUUGUAUUAAACCACAAACUAUAAAAUGUACGACAAAAGAUAUUUCAUCAAUAGAUAUAAUGACGACAGAGAAUUAUAUUUAAACAUAUAUUUGCGAAAAAUAAAAAAAAAAAAAAAAGGAGUCUCUGACCUCGAGGGCCCUCUCAAUUCACAGGCAAAAUUCAUCUUAUUUGCCAGAGGGCCUUCGUUUUUGUGGAUGAUCGAAUCGAUUGUAGACCUUGGAUACACUCUGGGUUAAAUGAAAAUAAACGAUUAAUGCAAUGUCAGAAAAUUCCGAGAGUAAAAUAGCAGCAGCAGAAGUAAAUGCAGCAAAGAGUUUUUUAAAGACAACGAUGACGACGACGACGAAACAUCAACUGUGUAUUGCGAGUUGAUGAUGGGGAUGAAGAGUAAGAGGCAGAAGGUUGCGCCAGGUCCGCCCAGUAUAAGUUAAAGCUAUUGCAGAUAUUGCAAGUGUCGAGGAGACAGACACAAAGAGAUAAAUAAAAAUACAUAAAAGAGAAAAAAAACAAAGUUUAAAUAACGAGCCAGCAGAGAGCAAAUAAAACUAAAGCGCGAGUAGCUUUGAAUUUCUCAGUGUAAAUCUUUGAGAAAUAAAAAUUUGCCUAGACUCAAAUGCGAAUAUUCAUACUUGAGGUUUUUAAGAGGGAAGAAACCGCGUUGAAUUGGUGAUAAUGAUGCUGGUCGUAGUAGAAUAAUCGUGGGGUUAAUAAUAAUAGUAAGAUAAAAAAAAGCAUUUAAAUUGUGGGAGAGAAAAUACGAUACAGGGCACCUGAUCCGUGGCCUUCCUUUAUGACGGUCACUCCCAGCAGUUGCGUGUAUUUGCUGCUGUGAAAUGUUCAUACUCUACUACUACAUUUUAUCUUUAUAAAUGUUUUAUUAUAUAUACUUACUUAG